CGGAUGUAUUGUCUGUUCACUACGCAUCAGCCAGGCAACUGAACGUUUAUAUGUACACCGGAGACUCCUGGCCAGUUAACAGCCUAAACAUCGAAGUGGGCAUUGUCUUCAUCAGGAUCUGAAAUAAUGGAUAACGUAGGAACUCCAUGUAAGCUACUUGAAAUGCUUGUCCGAUACUUUGUGCAAUAAACUGAGCUUCUUCACUUUCAAAAACGUGGCAGAUCAUUUUGGGAGUCCUGUUUAUCUUGGGGGCUUCUUCCAUCUCAUGCGGUACGAAUCGUCUUCGGGCCAUGAGAACGACCAAAUCACCGAUAUCUGCUAUGUAGGAUAUCGUUCGCAAAGCAUGAUCCAUCAUAAUUUCUUUCAAAUCAGUGUUAAGAACCAUAAUUUUCUCUGUUGAAAUAAAUAGGUCGACUUCGGUACUGGGUUGAGUUUCUCCGUCUGGUGCCUAAAUAAAAUCAAAGAUAGUUUUAUGAAACACGCAAGCAUUUUCUAUAGAUUUAUGAUAUUCCUUAUAAAAUGUACGUACCAAUGCCUAUCGCAAGAAGCAGCAUGUUAAAUAAAGUAAAAAGAAAAACAACGAUUUAUUAUUAACAUUUUAUAAAAGGGCUGUUGAAUCAAAAAUAUUAUACAUUCCAAUGCAUGUUAUUAUCAGGCACUGAUUUAAAGCGAAUAAUGCAUACAGUUGAAAUUGUAUAUUGUAUCAUUUGUGAAGAUCCUAUAAACCUGAGAGUUUAAAUGUGUACUUUGUCAGAGUAUGUUAAAAUUCAAUGUAACGCUCCAUUUAUUUGGUUGGUAAGAAUUGAAGAGAAUAUACGAAGGAAAUAUAUUUCUCAUAUAGAUUGAUAUCGUAUUCCAUCGGAAAGAUCAAACUAAGGAACAUCUUUCCAAAUGAUAAUUAAUACAAACAGAGGUACAUUUGGGUAAGGCGGACCUUUAUUUUAGUCACAGCCUCUUCCACCAUGUGAUUCUUAAGGCGCUUACGCCGUUUACGUCCCCCUUCCUCUUCCACCUCCACCGACCCAAGAAAUUGUAGUCUGAAAACGGUUGUGGGGCCCAAGGAGCCACUGAUCGGGGCCAGUUUUGGUUGGGCGGCUAUUGUGUGUGUCUCGGACUGGCCCCCACCAGAAGCACUCCCUAUAAGUUCUUCGCUUGAGUCACAUUCGUCUUCCUCUAGGCUUCCUUGCGAAGUAAUGCUGCAGCGGCCGUAACCAUGCUGCCCCCCAUAGUUUAAGAGCGUAGCCUGCAUUGGCACUGGCCCAUCCUUCCGUUACGCGCACGCCAAACAAACAAACAAACAGAGGCUCUGCUAGUCACAUUGCCACGCACCACCAACAAAACAAGGCAAAAGAGCCAAAGUUAUUGGAAUCUGAGUUGCUGUUUACAUCUCUAUUUAUAAUAAUUUAUAUAUAUAUAUAUAUAUA